AACGUUAAAUGAUGGCACUAAAAUCACGUGCGCAUCAAGGGAUUUUAAAAUAUUCACUGAGGUAAAUGCCGUGCACAAAUCGGCCGAUAGAUUGGUGUAUGUAUGGACAAGAUUUACAAACACCCAAGCUGCAUGUCCAAACAACGAACAAUUUUUUUAAUUGAACACCUUUAGUCACCUAUGUCCAAGCAGUUACCCAAGCGGUUGUAACAUUGCUGCAAUAAAUUUUGUCUUUCUUGUUUGGUACCAAAGCUGUCUGUGAAUAGAGUUUUAAUAGCGAAGAGGAACAGAAAGUUGGCGCUAAGAAGUAUGAGGAAACAAAGUGACAAAGAGAAUGAUCAGAGUGUUUGGCAGAAGAACUGCCCCUGACUUGAAUACAUUGAUGGUCUCCUAUUUUGCAUCUGGUGCAGAAAGGAAAGCAGUGCAAAUUGAUGAGAGUGUUGAUGAAGAACUACAAGAAUUAAAACAUUGAAAGAUUCCGGAGAAUAUGACAGAAUUAGAAGUUGAAAGAGGGCUUGAACUCUCGUCUUAAACUUGUAUUGUAAAUACUUAAUAAAAAUGUUCAAUCUUGAAA